GGCCCGUUCAUCUAGCGGUCUAGGAUGCAGGAUUCUCAGUCCUGUCACAGGGGUUCGAGUCCCCUACGGGCUACCA
rnacentral:tRNA from 1 species